rnacentral:misc_RNA from 1 species
CUGUGCUUCGGCGCGGCCAACCGUCGUGGGGCUGUCUCUUCACUAAUCAUCCCGCUCUGCUCGUGCGGGACGGGAGGAAUGCUAGCUUGCGGCUGUCUGUGCGGUUCUACCCUAGUGGUACCUUGUUAGGCUUCUUGACGGAGUUUUUGCUUGCCCCGUGAUGUUCAUUAUCAUUGGGGCAGUCGAUAUGCUGGCUUAAUUUGCGUGCCGUGGUGGUCUAGGCCUCAGCAUUGCGCGUGCUUUUUGUCGGCUCUCACGGAUGCUGUGACCUUUGAGGAAUUCAUGGGCCUUCGGACCCUUGAUUUCGCGGGAUAUGCCCCUUGUUCCGGAGCAAGUGGGAUGUUUAUCCGAUUCGAUGAGCGAUUGCUGUUCUCGCGUUGUUCCAUGAUGCGGAGACGGCUCUCGUUUAGGACGUGUUACCUGGUUGAUCCUGCCAGUAGUCA